CUGGCAUAGAGGAGGGCAGGUUUAGUAUUCAAUGCGAUCUAAACAAAUUGGGAAUACAGGCUGGAAAAAGUAAAUGAACUUUAGUAAAGUUAAAUGCAAGGUACUUCACGUAGGCAUUUAUGCACAUAUGGAGCAAGUAACACCUGCCCAGGCCUUGAGGACAGCAAAGAAUCUUCAGUAAGUCAUCAGUGGUGGAUAAGCCUGUGAUUGGAAGAAAGCAGACAUCUAACAUGGUGUAUAAAUAGAAGUACAGAUCAUGAGCCAUUGUAAUUUUUCCAGCAUGGAACUUAGUUGAGUUGUGGGCAUCUCAGACUGGAACAAAGAAAAUGAAAUAAUUAAACAAGUGUACAGAAAACAGAAUGAACUAAAAAGAAUCAUCAGAGACCUAGAUAUAUGACCUGUGAGGAAAAAAAAAAAAAAAAAAAUAUGUCAGAAAAGAGGUUGUUUAGCCUAAAAAAAAAAAAAAAAAAGAGAGAGAGAACAGGAAAUGGGAAGGGAUGGAAGAGAUAUUCAUUAAAUUUGCCUAGACUGCUGCCUGGAUAAUCUGUUCUGCCUGUCCAUGGUGGACAAGAUGGGAAAUGAUGCGCUUAGUGAGUGCUGCAAAUAAUAUUCAGGUUAGAUAUUAUGAAAAUGAUAAGGAUGGAAAAGCAUAGAAAUAGACUGCCUGGGGAGAUACAGAGCCUUCAUUGCAGAAACGAUGGUAAGGGUAGAGCUCAGUCUGCUAUGGGGCCCAAGGACCCUUGCAGCACUGUGAUUCAGUGAUUAUAGCAAUAUUAUACAACUGAGAGCUGAUUCAUCUUAUUUCUUUGGAAUGGAUGUCUCUGUAAGCUGUGUUACAUAUUUGUCUCCACUUCCUUUGAUUUUGCAUGAUUUGUGUUGAGCAAUCAGAAUGAGCAAGAUGGUUGUUGCUUUGCUCUAGGGUAAUACCACUAAUUACAAUUUCUUUUACCAUGUUAUGACUUCCCCACUUACAGGAACAUUUUCAUCUUUAAGUAGUGCUGCUUUCCCUAGUAUUUAUCUGGGAGUAAGGUUGUGUGUCUCUAUUUUUAUUACAAAACUAAUAUUAACCCUUUCUAAGUUAGCAGCAUGCCAGAGGGUCAUGCUGACCCACAGGAAAGACAUAUCCCUGUUCACAAAAGCACCACUUGUUCCUUAUCUGGGCUCUCUAGAACAAGAAUUUCCUCUGCUUAUAUCUGUACAAAACUGCCUCACACAUGGGACGCAGACUUGGCUGAAGUCCUCAAAUCCAUUGUAGUGCAAGUAUAGAAACAAUCAGUUAAAUCCUUCCUAAAUCUCUGUGCCUUCCUUACGAUAAUAAUAAAAGGUGAGGUACAUUAUGACAGUCGGAGGAUCUGCGUGUGGAGGAUGAGGCACACUGAAAGAGGAGCGCCACACAGCAUGGUCACGUACCUGGGCUCCCAGCAGGAGCCAAGGCUGCAAGCUGGGUAACACGGCUCCUGUCCCAUGCAGGGAGAGAAAUUGGACACUAAAAGGGAUCUGCACUACCCAUAACACCCAGAAUAAAACAAUCUAAUUUCACCAUUCUGUAAUUGAAGUUGAUGACAGCUAGUCACUUAAAAAAAUAAAAAUAAAAUAUGGGGAGGGAGUGAAAUUCAGGUCUAACUUCUUAAGUGUUACUCUGGACUUCCAGGCUGUGCCUCUGUCCACACAAACUUUCACUGCUAACAGAAGGCAGCUAUCCAUUUAUCUCAAAGAAUUCAGCAGAAAUCAUUACUGUCUUCUGAAAUACAAAGAAAACUCCUCUCCUGGAUUUGCAGUAGUCUAAGGUGUCAUUUUUUUUUCUGUUUCAGCUGCUCCUACUGGUGGUGUUUCUGCUCCAAAAACUGCAUUUCCCCCAGGGCGGGCUUCGGCCACUUUAAUAAGAUUUAUUCUGGGAACAGAAAAGGUGGAAGAGGUAAAGACUGAUACCUCCUACUGCACUUCUCCAGGCUGUGCACAAAACAUUUGGGUUUGCUGGCACCAGCAGAGCCAACAUGCAGAGGAACAGGGACAAUUUCACCUGGCAACAUGGGGGGGUUGAGGAGUGCCUCUAACUGCAUGUAGCCUGUGUGCAUGAGACAGUUUUUAUUCUUUAUUCAGUAUUUUAAACAUAAAUGCUGAGGAUGGGAGCUAUGACACAUGCACACACACAGCUGACCCGGCGUGGUUACUGCCACAGUCCUGGCAGGGACAGCACCUUGCUCAGAGGUGCUGAGCUCACCUAGGCAGAGAUGAAUAUGGUUCCCAAGACUCCCCAACCCUGGGCAAGAGCAGUAACUCCCAGGAAGGGCGUGAGCCUGCUCCCACUCGACUGCCAGGGCAGAGGGAUGCCCGGCGUCUGCACCAGCCCUUACUGACAGAUGUACAAAUCCUCUAGGUACUGCGGGACGGAGCAGGGCACCUCCCAGAAGUGCAAUUUAAACAAACCACAGCCACAAGUGGAGGGCUUGCUGAGCACCCAUCCUACCUUGGGGUCCCUCAGAUCCUCCUCCCGCACUCCGCACCCCAUCAAUCCCCCUCCCGGAGCCGCGGCUGCGUCUGCUUUAACCGGGCAGGCGGGGGGGAGAGGGGGGGGUGAAUGCGGGCAGCCCCGCCGAUGUCGUGGGCAUCAGCUGACCGAGCCGGGCUCUGCCUCCUCCCGGGCCGCCCUCCCGCAGCACCACUCCGGCGGCGGCGGCGGUGGCCGCCGGUCCCCGCGGCUCCCGGGGCAGCAGCACCGGCCGCCGGCUGCCUGCCGCAGAGCUCCCUGCCGAGCCUGCCCCUCGCCCCUUCCUCCUCCUCCUCCUCCUCCCUGCCGCCGGGGGAAGCCCCAGAGACGAAGCCCUCCUUGCCUUGAGCCGCCGAGAAGUUGGGAUGCUCCCAGCGCUCUUCGCAGGGCUCUGAGUUUAGGGCGGGAUUUUCGUUCCUCGCUCUUUCGCUUUUUUAGUUUUCUCCCCCU